rnacentral:rRNA from 1 species
AUGAAUUACCAAAACCACCUAGGGAUAGUUGCACUUUCAGUUGUCCUGGGUGAUUUUAAUGAAAUCCUAUAUUCCCAUGAGAAAGAAGGCGGCAAUGCAAUACCAAAUGCAAUGAUGAGAGGUUUUCAUAAUUGUUUGGGAGACUGUGGCCUGGAAGAUCUAGGAUAUAUUGGGGAUCCUUUCACUUGGAGGAGAGGAGUAAUCAGGGAGAGACUUGACCGUGUUGUAUGUAAUGUGGAAUGGGAAAAUAAAUUUCCUUGUACCGCGGUCAUAAAUGAAGAACACGUACAUUCCGACCAUCGUCCUCUAAUCCUGGACACAGAAUAUUUGUAUGGUAAUAUGUUUAACCGACCGAAGAACCGAGUAAGACAAUUUGAAGCGUGGUGGCUCCAAGAAGAAACAGUUGUGGAAAUUGUACGUACUGUUUGGUAG